UUCUGUGGGAAGGUCUAAGAUUGCCUUUCUGUGGGGGGACUCACGUUUGUAUAAUCAGAGAAACUCGAUAACUAUUAAUAGUAUAAUUCAUACCUAAAGUGGAUAGAUUUUAACUAUGAGCGUAAGCUUGAUUAAGCUAUUGUUUAUUAGAGGAGUCCAACCAGGUGCCAGCAGUCGCGGUUAAACCUGAGUAACUCAAGUCAAGUGGGACAGUGUAAAAGGUGGUUAGACAGUCUGCUUUGUAUUUUCAUUAAAACAAAUGUAAUUUUUGAAAAAAGAAGAUCGACCCGAGGAAGUAGGGGUGCAAUCUUAUGUAUUUCCUUGAGGGAAGGGGCACAUUCUUCUUUAGGCUGAGUCCACGGAACCGGUUAACUGAAGACAUGGAUUAGAUACCCAUUUAUUGCCGAUGUAAACUUUGCUUUUCAGUGCAGCCUCCUUGGUGUACUACGAGCGAGUGCUUAAAACUCAGAGAACUUGGCCGGCUGUUAACUACCUAGGGGAAUAUCGCCUUAAUCCGAUGAUCCCCGUCAUAUCUUACUGAGUCUUGAAAAAGUGCAGCUGGUGUAUUGCGCCGUUGUCCAGCUUGUUGCUUCGAGCAAAGAGAAAGCAGGCUUGAAUGGAUCCCGGUGAUAAUCUUCACGGCAAUCCAUGAAUUCAGGUCGUAAUACUGCCUAUGGCUCAAGGGAGCGGGUGUUACAAUUCAUAUUUGGAAUUACGGAUCCUCAUUGUGGAAUCUUGGGGUGAAGGUGAACUUAGGAGUAAGGAGAGAUUAAUGUGCUUUCCUGAACAUGAAUCUAACUCGUGUACACAUCGCCCGUCGCUCUCGGCGAGAGCUGAGAUAAGUCGUAACAAGGUAGGGGUACUGGAAGGUGCGCCCUGAGAAAUAAUUUGAUUU
rnacentral:rRNA from 1 species